GACAGAGGGUGCAAACGUUGUUCGGAAUUACUGGGCUUAAAGAGUUCGUAGGCGGCGCAGAAAGUAGGGUGUGAAAGCCCUCGGCUCAACCGAGGAAUUGCGCUCUAAACUACUGUGCUUGAGGAAUCUAGAGGUGAGCGGAACUGAUGGUGGAGCGGUGAAAUGCGUUGAUAUCAUCAGGAACACCGGAGGCGAAGGCGGCUCACUGGGGAUUUUCUGACGCUGAGGAACGAAAGCCAGGGGAGCGAACGGG
rnacentral:rRNA from 1 species